rnacentral:pre_miRNA from 1 species
UCCAACUUUGACUGUCCGUCUUAUAUGAAAUUUUUUUAUAAUUCGUAUUUUCAUUAUUGUUAGAUGAUAAAACAUGAUUAAUAUUUUAUGUGUGACUUAUCUUUUUAUUUUUUUCAUAAUUUUCUUAAAUAAGACGGACGGUCAAACGUUGGACACGGAAACC